rnacentral:rRNA from 1 species
GACAGAGGCCUCAAGCGUUAGGCGGAAUCACUGGGCUUAAAGCGUGUGUAGGCGGAUCGUUAAGUGUCUUGUGAAAUCCCACGGCUCACCCGUGGAACUGCUGGGCAUACUGGCGAUCUUGGGCCAACUAGGGGCAACUGGAACAAGCGGUGGAGCGGUGAAAUGCGUAGAUAUCGCUUGGAACGCCAAAGAUGAAAACAGGUUGCUGGGGUUGUGCCGACGCUGAGACACGAAAGCCAGGGGAGCAAACGGG